rnacentral:lncRNA from 1 species
UAAAUGUUCAAUUUUUAAAUUGAAUUUGUGAAUUCUGUUUUUGAGCUAGGAUGCUUAUUCGAUUUUUUGGAUCUGGUCAAAUUCAUAUUAAAUGUUGCCCUUCACAUUUUUAUCAGUGUAAAAGCGUUAGAUCUUGUUUAAUUUAGCACUGUUGAGAUGUAGGUUGUCUCUUUGGUAUUUGAACAUUAAGCAUGUACAUCUUAAGGAGCACUAAUUUAUUUAUAUACAAAAAUUGACUUGAUGACCAGCUCAUCAAUACAAUUGAAUUGUCUAACUGUAAAAGUUACAUAUUUGUCAAGGAUACCCGUUUGUCGAUUUUCCUCAAGACCUCUAAGUUCUAAAGGUAGUUACAGGUGUCUCCCUAAAUUUGUCCAACCGUACCUGUUGGAAUUUUGGAAGUUAUUACACGGAGUACUAAGUAAAGAUGCUUGAGCAAAGAUUGAUUAAUCAAGAUGUUAUAUGUUCCUUCUUAUAAGCUGCAUUCUAGUAAAUAUUCUUCCAGUUUUCAAAACAUGUUAGAAGGAAUUACUUGGUUAAACAUGUUGGGAGGAAUUACUCGGUUUUCUUUUGCUAAUCGUGUUUUUACCCAUUAUCAUAAGAGUAAUAUUCUGUAAUAUUAUGGUAAUCAUAUUACAGUUUCACUAACACAGUAUUGAUCUGUUUAGAUACAUAGACUCGCUUUUCACAAGAUUCAUUUUCUCUUGAUUCCUGAUUAUAUUGGCCAUUGUUCACAUUGAGCGAAGCUUUUCGAUGCAUAGGCUCAAUGGUGGGCUGAGAGAACAUAUAGAACUCUUUCUUCUUACAUUGUAACUUCCAUAGGGGCUGAUAAUAUUCUCUCUUCUCUACGUUUAUUAAGUUUCUGUUAUGUUUAGUUUAAAUUUAAUCCUCCUUUGUUUGCUUUAAUAUAUUUUAGUACAAGAGAGAUACAUUCUUGUCGAGCCAGGUGUAAAAGGAACUUCUGCUGUCUAUUGUUUUAUGCACAUGCUUUAAGAGCUAUUCAUAGUGCAAGUACUGUGGACAAACAUAAUGGUUGUCAUGCUUUAGAUGUUUAAAGUUUGAGUAAUUUUUCCAUCAGAUUCACAUGUAAUUGGAAAAUCAAAUUUUAAUCAGAAGCUUUGACCUGGCACUCAUAUUAUAUGUAAUAUUUGGAAGCAAUGUUCAUUGGGUAAGGGAAAUUUUUUAUUUAAAUAACUAAUCUUGCUUACCCAUUGUGAAUGUGCAAAUGACAGAGAUGAUAGCCUUGUAAAAUUGGUGGGUGGCUAAUGCAAGUGCUUGUUGAACUACUGACAUUUAUCAUGUAGCAAAGAAAUUAUCUAGGUUCCUUAGAAGAUGUAGGACUGCUGAACAUCUAGUCUUUCCUUAGCCAAUAGAAUUGUUGAAAUCUAUUUCCCUUGGGUGGACCAAGAUGAAGUUUUAAAGGAAUCUCCAACUUAUAGCCUAUUGAGUAUUAGCCCCCAUGAAUCUGCACAAGAAUUAGAGAAGACAAUAAUGAAAGUGUGGAACAUGGCAUAUACUUUAUCUUAUGGAAUGAAUUGAGUGAGGAUGAUGCAAGCUCA